rnacentral:tRNA from 1 species
GAAGGAUUAGUUAAACUACAUAUAACAUCAGAGUGUCAGACUGAAGUAAUCAAAAAGAUAUCCUUCU